GCCAAUGAGGUAUAGUGGUUUGAGUGUUGGACUACAACUCUGGAGAACAGAGUUCAAAUCCCUGCUUAGACA